rnacentral:rRNA from 1 species
GGAUUCCCCUAGUAACUGCGAGUGAAGCGGGAAAAGCUCAAAUUUAAAAUCUGGCGGUCUUUGGCCGUCCGAGUUGUAGUCUGGAGAAGUGCUUUCCGCGCUGGACCGUGUAUAAGUCUCUUGGAACAGAGCGUCAUAGAGGGUGAGAAUCCCGUCUUUGACACGGACUACCAGUGCUUUGUGAUGCGCUCUCAAAGAGUCGAGUUGUUUGGGAAUGCAGCUCAAAAUGGGUGGUGAAUUCCAUCUAAAGCUAAAUAUUGGCGAGAGACCGAUAGCGAACAAGUACCGUGAGGGAAAGAUGAAAAGCACUUUGGAAAGAGAGUUAAACAGUACGUGAAAUUGCUGAAAGGGAAACGCUUGAAGUCAGUCGCGUCUGCCGGAACUCAGCCUUCCUCUUGGUUGGUGCACUUUCCGGUAGACGGGUCAGCAUCGAUUUUGACCGUCGGAUAAGGGCUGGGGAAAUGUGGCACCCUUCGGGGUGUGUUAUAGUCCUCAGUCGCAUACGGCGGUCGGGAUCGAGGAACGCAGCGCGCCGCAAGGCAGGGGUUCGCCCACUUACGCGCUUAGGAUGCUGGCAUAAUGGCUUUAAACGACCCGUCUUGAAACACGGACCAAGGAGUCUAACAAACCUGCGAGUGUUUGGGUGGAAAACCCGAGCGCGUAAUGAAAGUGAAAG